GUGCCCCUUCAGCAGCACAUAUAUUAAAAUUGGUACAAUACAGAGAAUAUUAGCACAUGUGUUACUGAGACAGGACACAUGCAAAUGAAGAGGUGUUGCUUGUGCAC
rnacentral:snRNA from 1 species